UACGUAGGCAGCAAGCGUUGUUCGGAAUUACUGGGCGUAAAGAGUGUGUAGGCGGUGCUCUAAGUUCGGUGUGAAAUCUCCCGGCUCAACUGGGGGGGUGCGCCGAAAACUGGAGUGCUGGAGCGCGGGAGAGGAAAGCGGAAUUCCUGGUGUAGCGGUGAAAUGCGUAGAUAUCAGGAGGAACACCGGCGGUGUAGACGGCUUUCUGGACCGUAGCUGACGCUGAGACACGAAAGCGUGGGUAGCAAACAGG
rnacentral:rRNA from 1 species